rnacentral:rRNA from 1 species
UACGAAGGGGGCUAGCGUUGUUCGGAAUUACUGGGCGUAAAGCGCACGUAGGCGGACUAUUAAGUCAGGGGUGAAAUCCCGGGGCUCAACCCCGGAACUGCCUUUGAUACUGGCUAUCUUGAGUUCGGGAGAGGUGAGUGGAAUGCCGAGUGUAGAGGUGAAAUUCGUAGAUAUUCGGCGGAACACCAGUGGCGAAGGCGACUCACUGGCCCGAUACUGACGCUGAGGCGCGAAAGCGUGGGGAGCAAACAGG